GAUGUUCAGCAUCUUUUGAUGUGUCUUUUGGCCAACUCUGCAUCUUCUUUGGAGAAAUGUCUAUUCAUAUCUUCUUCCCAUU